CUGGCUCAGGAUGAACGCUAGCGACAGGCCUAACACAUGCAAGUCAGGGGCAGCACAAGGAGCAAUCUGAGGUGGCGACCGGCGCACGGGUGAGUAACACGUAUGCAACCUGCCUGUAAGCGGGGAAUAACCCGUUGAAAGACGGACUAAUACCGCAUAAUACUAAAUUACAGCAUGGUAAUUUAUUUAAACAUUUAUGGCUUACAGAUGGGCAUGCGCAUGAUUAGCUAGUUGGAGAGGUAACGGCUCCCCAAGGCAACGAUCAUUAGGGGUUCUGAGAGGAAGGUCCCCCCACACUGGUACUGAGGCACGGACCAGACUCCUACGGGAGGCAGCAGUGAGGAAUAUUGGUCAAUGGACGAGAGUCUGAACCAGCCAAGUCGCGUGCAGGAAGAAUUGUCCUAUGGAUUGUAAACUGCUUUUGCAGGGGAAUAAAGUGCAUCACGUGUGAUGUUUUGUAUGUACUCUGCGAAUAAGGAUCGGCUAACUCCGUGCCAGCCGCGGC
rnacentral:rRNA from 1 species